rnacentral:rRNA from 1 species
CCCUUAGAUGUUCUGGGCCGCACGCGCGCUACACUGACAGAGCCAACGAGUUCUUCACCUUGGCCGGAAGGUCUGGGUAAUCUUGUUAAACUCUGUCGUGCUGGGGAUGGAGCAUUGCAAUUAUUGCUCUUCAACGAGGAAUGCCUAGUAAGCGCGUGUCAUCAGCACGCGUUGAUUACGUCCCUGCCCUUUGUACACACCGCCCGUCGCUACUACCGAUUGAAUGGCUCAGUGAGGCCUUCGGACUGGCUCAGGGAGGUUGGCAACGACCACCCCGAGCCGGAAAGUUCGUCAAACUCGGUCAUUUAGAGGAAGUAAAAGUCGUAACA